GACGAACGCUGGCGGCGUGCCUAAUACAUGCAAGUAGAACGCUGAAGAGAGGAGCUUGCUCUUCUUGGAUGAGUUGCGAACGGGUGAGUAACGCGUAGGUAACCUGCCUGGUAGCGGGGGAUAACUAUUGGAAACGAUAGCUAAUACCGCAUAAAAUUGAUUAUUGCAUGAUAAUUAAUUGAAAGAUGCAACUGCAUCACUACCAGAUGGACCUGCGUUGUAUUAGCUAGUUGGUGAGGUAACGGCUCACCAAGGCGACGAUACAUAGCCGACCUGAGAGGGUGAUCGGCCACGCUGGGACUGAGACACGGCCCAGACUCCUACGGGAGGCAGCAGUAGGGAAUCUUCGGCAAUGGGGGGAACCCUGACCGAGCAACGCCGCGUGAGUGAAGAAGGUUUUCGGAUCGUAAAGCUCUGUUGUAAGAGAAGAACGGGUGUGAGAGUGGAAAGUUCACAGGGUGACG
rnacentral:rRNA from 1 species